GAGGAGAUGGCGGUGUUCCUGGUGGUAACCUGCCCUUCCAGAUCCAAAACAGAUUCCGUUUGACUGUUCUGUUUGUGGCAUUCUUUGGUUCUGGUCUGGCACUACCCUUCGUACUUGUUCGUCAUCAGCUGCUCAAGAAAUAAUGGCAGAAUCAGAAACUAGGUUUGUACAUCCAAAAAAUGCAGGCUAUGUAAUGUGAUGUAAAUUUUUAUUUAAUAUGCUUCAAAUAAAAGAAUAAAAAUUCUCUUUAUA